GUGGACGCGCAGCUGACGCAGCUGGUGGCCCUGCAGGAGCUGAGCGAAGCCGAGCGCCGCCUGCGGCACCUCCUGCUCACGCUCUUCCAGGAGGUGUUUUCUGAGUUCUUCCCCGGCUGCGCCGUGCUUCCUUUCGGUUCCUCCGUCAACGGUUUCGAUUCCCACUGCUGCGACCUGGAUCUGCUCCUGGAUCUGGAAACCACCAAAUCUCUACGGAACGACGGAUCCGAGGCCGAAGAUUCCAUCCUCAGCGACAUCGACCUGAGCUCUGCCUCUCCCGAGGAGCUCCUGGAUUUGGUGGCCGCCGUCCUCCGGCGCUGCGUCCCCGGCGUCACCCGCGUCCGUCCCGUCCCAACCGCCCGGCGUCCCGUCGUCAAGUUCUGCCACAAGCAAUCCGGCCUGCUGGGCGACAUCUCCAUCGACAACAGGUAUUCAAGUCUCACCCUGUGUGUGGGGAACUGCUUUGGCAGGGGGUUGGCUUGAUGAUCUCUGGAGGCCCCUUCCAACCCCUACAAUGCUGUGAUCCUGUGAUUCUGUGACUGAGAGGAAGAGGAGGCAGCAGCUGCAGUGCGCAGCAUCACAGGGCAGCGUUCUGAGUGCCCCCAGCUCGGCGCUCCAGGUCUUUUGUGGUUGCACUCAAUCAAUGAGCGAUCACAAUUAUGGCUUCACAAAGAUUCCACGUGCUGCUGCAUGACUUCUGGUCCAGAGUAGCAUCUCUGCAGGUUCUUUUUUUAAAUCAGGACACGUCACGCCUGUUGUGUUUGUCGUAUUGUGCUUAACAAAGUCAUUCUUUGGAAAUGG